AUUAAUCUAACACUUUACUCACAAAGAUUGGCAGUUGAGUUCAUCAUGGCUUGAAAUUAAAGAAGCUUGCACUAAAAUUGGGCUCUUCAAGUUUCAACAAUUCAAAACAAAAGAAAGGUUGGUUUGUCUAACAUUUUUUUUUUUUUGGUAAGAAUGUUUGGUUGAUCACCUCUUUAAUUCUGUCACCUGCUGCAGCCAGUGAUCCAAACAAAGAUGCACACAAAUCUAUUGGUCAAAAAUUGACUCUAAAUCUAAUAAAUAAAAUCUUUUCAUUUCCUCAACUUAAUUAUCGACCAAUAUGUAACCUACAUCUGCUCUUAAACUUUCACGAAACUCACAAAUUUUGCUCGGCGUCACAGAAAUUUCUUCUCAUUUCAAGUGCAUAUAACACAGUGAGUUGUCUUGACGACCCCUUUUUUAUAUUGUUUCAUCAUCAUAUGGCCGCUGCAUUUCGUGAAAAAGAGGCUUCAAGUGUAUGAAUGAGAUGGUUCUUUAUUUUGCAUGCAACUCUUUUAAGGUAUGUUAAUUGAUUCUUGUUGUUUAAUUCAUUCUUUUUGUUCCUGUUUUACUUAUAAUAAUCAUCAUCAUAACUAUAUUGUUAGUUCAUUCUUUUCUUUGUUGUGGGUAAAAUCUUUGACUUAUAUGCUCCAAACUUCUUAAUGUUAAUUAAAUUCUGCAGCAUUUUUGUUUUCCGAAACGUGUUUCUCUAUUUUCUCGCAUAAAACUUACAGAAAGCAAGAGUGGCUCUUCUGCAUACACCUGUUGUCAUUGCCAUCAGUACUGUUUUUUUUUUUUUUUUCCUUCUCUUUUCUUUUAACUUUUUGUUCUUGUUUUUGUUAUAAUA
rnacentral:lncRNA from 1 species